rnacentral:rRNA from 1 species
UGCAGUCGAACGAUGAAGCCCAGCUUGCUGGGUGGAUUAGUGGCGAACGGGUGAGUAACACGUGAGUAACCUGCCCUUAACUCUGGGAUAAGCCUGGGAAACUGGGUCUAAUACCGGAUAGGAGCGCCGACCGCAUGGUGGGUGUUGGAAAGAUUUAUCGGUUUUGGAUGGACUCGCGGCCUAUCAGCUUGUUGGUGAGGUAAUGGCUCACCAAGGCGACGACGGGUAGCCGGCCUGAGAGGGUGACCGGCCACACUGGGACUGAGACACGGCCCAGACUCCUACGGGAGGCAGCAGUGGGGAAUAUUGCACAAUGGGCGCAAGCCUGAUGCAGCGACGCCGCGUGAGGGAUGACGGCCUUCGGGUUGUAAACCUCUUUCAGUAGGGAAGAAGCGAAAGUGACGGUACCUGCAGAAGAAGCACCGGCUAACUACGUGCCAGCAGCCGCGGUAAUACGUAGGGUGCGAGCGUUAUCCGGAAUUAUUGGGCGUAAAGAGCUCGUAGGCGGUUUGUCGCGUCUGUCGUGAAAGUCCGGGGCUUAACCCCGGAUCUGCGGUGGGUACGGGCAGACUAGAGUGCAGUAGGGGAGACUGGAAUUCCUGGUGUAGCGGUGGAAUGCGCAGAUAUCAGGAGGAACACCGAUGGCGAAGGCAGGUCUCUGGGCUGUAACUGACGCUUGAGGAGCGAAAGCAUGGGGGAGCGAACAGGAUUAGAUACCCUGGUAGUCCAUGCCGUAAACGUUGGGCACUUAGGUGUGGGGACCAUUCCACGGUUUCCGCGCCGCAGCUAACGCAUUAAGUGCCCCGCCUGGGGAGUACGGCCGCAAGGCUAAAACUCAAAGGAAUUGACGGGGGCCCGCACAAGCGGCGGAGCAUGCGGAUUAAUUCGAUGCAACGCGAAGAACCUUACCAAGGCUUGACAUGUUCUCGAUCGCCGUAGAGAUACGGUUUCCCCUUUGGGGCGGGUUCACAGGUGGUGCAUGGUUGUCGUCAACUCGUGUCGUGAGAUGUUGGGUUAAGUCCCGCAACGAGCGCAACCCUCGUUCCAUGUUGCCAGCACGUAAUGGUGGGGACUCAUGGGAGACUGCCGGGGUCAACUCGGAGGAAGGUGAGGACGACGUCAAAUCAUCAUGCCCCUUAUGUCUUGGGCUUCACGCAUGCUACAAUGGCCGGUACAAUGGGUCGCGAUACUGUGAGGUGGAGCUAAUCCCAAAAAGCCGGUCUCAGUUCGGAUUGGGGUCUGCAACUCGACCCCAUGAAGUCGGAGUCGCUAGUAAUCGCAGAUCAGCAACGCUGCGGUGAAUACGUUCCCGGGCCUUGUACACACCGCCCGUCAAGUCACGAAAGUCGGUAACACCCGAAGCCGGUGGCCUAACCCUUGUGGGGGAGC